GAUGAACGCUGGCGGCGUGCCUAAUACAUGCAAGUCGAGCGAACGGACGAGAAGCUUGCUUCUCUGAUGUUAGCGGCGGACGGGUGAGUAACACGUGGAUAACCUACCUAUAAGACUGGGAUAACUUCGGGAAACCGGAGCUAAUACCGGAUAAUAUUUUGAACCGCAUGGUUCAAAAGUGAAAGACGGUCUUGCUGUCACUUAUAGAUGGAUCCGCGCUGCAUUAGCUAGUUGGUAAGGUAACGGCUUACCAAGGCAACGAUGCAUAGCCGACCUGAGAGGGUGAUCGGCCACACUGGAACUGAGACACGGUCCAGACUCCUACGGGAGGCAGCAGUAGGGAAUCUUCCGCAAUGGGCGAAAGCAUGACGGAGCAACGCCGCGUGAGUGAUGAAGGUCUUCGGAUCGUAAAACUCUGUUAUUAGGGAAGAACAUAUGUGUAAGUAACUGUGCACAUCUUGACGGUACCUAAUCAGAAAGCAACGGCUAACUACGUG
rnacentral:rRNA from 1 species